GGGAUAUUGCACAAUGGGGGAAACCCUGAUGCAGCGACGCCGCGUGGGCGAAGAAGUAUUUCGGUAUGUAAAGCCCUAACAGCAGGGAAGAAGAAAUUGACAGUACCUCAGGAGGAAGCUCCGGCUAACUAUGUGCCAGCAGCCGCGGUAAUACAUAGGGAGCAAGCGUUAUCCGGAUUUAUUGGGUGUAAAGGGUGCGUAGACGGGAAAUUAAGUUAGUUGUGAAAUCCCUCGGCUUAACUGAGGAACUGCAACUAAAACUGAUUUUCUUGAGUACUGGAGAGGAAAGUGGAAUUCCUAGUGUAGCGGUGAAAUGCGUAGAUAUUAGGAGGAACACCAGUGGCGAAGGCGACUUUCUGGACAGUAACUGACGUUGAGGCACGAAAGUGUGGGGAGCAAACAG
rnacentral:rRNA from 1 species